GACGAACGCUGGCGGCGUGCUUAACACAUGCAAGUCGAACGAAGUGGCGAACGGGUGAGUAGCACGUAAUAAACAUGCCCGUGAGAGGGGGACAACAGUUGGAAACGACAGCUAGUACCGCAUACUGAGGGAGGGGAGUGCGUCUGAUUAGCUAGUUGGAGGGGUAACGGCCCACCAAGGCUAGGCUCAGGAGCCGGACUGAGAGGAUGAACGGCCACAGUGGGACUGAGACACGGCCCAGACUCCUACGGGAGGGAGCAGUGGGGAAGCUUCCGCAAUUGACGAAAGUCUGACGGAGCAACGCCGCGUGAGUGAUGACGGCCUUCGGGUUGUAAAGCUCUGUUAAUCGGGACGCGGUACCGGAAUAGAAAGCCACGGCUAACUACGUGCCAGCAGCCGCGGUAAUAC
rnacentral:rRNA from 1 species